rnacentral:rRNA from 1 species
GAUGAACGCUGGCGGCGUGCCUAAUACAUGCAAGUCGAGCGAACAGAUGAGGAGCUUGCUCCUCUGACGUUAGCGGCGGACGGGUGAGUAACACGUGGAUAACCUACCUAUAAGACUGGGAUAACUUCGGGAAACCGGAGCUAAUACCGGAUAAUAUAUUGAACCGCAUGGUUCAAUAGUGAAAGACGGUUUUGCUGUCACUUAUAGAUGGAUCCGCGCCGCAUUAGCUAGUUGGUAAGGUAACGGCUUACCAAGGCAACGAUGCGUAGCCGACCUGAGAGGGUGAUCGGCCCCACUGGAACUGAGACACGGUCCAGACUCCUACGCGAGGCAGCAGUAGGGAAUCUUCCGCAAUGGGCGAAAGCCUGACGGAGCAACGCCGCGUGAGUGAUGAAGGUCUUCGGAUCGUAAAACUCUGUUAUUAGGGAAGAACAAAUGUGUAAGUAACUAUGCACGUCUUGACGGUACCUAAUCAGAAAGCCACGGCUAACUACGUG